CAAUAGCGUAUAUUAAAGUUGUUGCAGUUAAAACGCUCGUAGUUGAACAUCUGCCCUUUUCCGGUUAGGUCCGCUCUGCGUGCACCUUCCGAAAUCGGCAUCCGUCUGCGUUGCUUCGCAUUGCAGACCGUUCACUUUGAGGAAAUUAGAGUGUUCAAAGCAGGCUUACGCCUUGAAUACUUCAGCAUGGAAUGAUUGAUAGGACUUCUAUCCUAUCUUGGUUCUAGGGACAGAAGUAAUGGUAAACAGGGUUGGUUGGGGGCAUUCGUACUGAACAGUCAGAGGUGAAAUUCUUAGAUUUGUUCAAGACGAACAACUGCGAAAGCAUUUGCCAAGGACGACCCCAUUA
rnacentral:rRNA from 1 species